UCGUCCUCGGCCAGCCACACGGGAACGGCGGAGCCCAGGCCCAGGCCCGCCAUGGCCAACAGGCGGCCGGGGCGCGGACGUCGGGGUUGAGCCGGGCGAGUCUCCUCAGGCUCCUCCCUCGCCCUUCCUCUUCCCCUUGCCCUCCUCCUUUUCUCGGCCGCCUUUUCUCCUCCUUCCUUGGCGCCACCCCGUCUCCUUCCUCCGAUCCUGCUGAAAACAGACUUAGAGCCUCCAGUGCCCAGCUGGAAAGACAGAGCUGACCUUCAGUGGCGGCCUCUUGCCCUGGGAAACCAACAUGCCGCGAGCUGCUAGAAACCCGCGGAGGUCUCCAAGAUUCCCUUUAGCUGGAUGUCCCUCCAUUAAGAUGCAGCACCGUUGGAUGUCUUCGUCCGUUGGCUUAAAAAAAAAUAAACAACAAAAAAGAUGCAACACCGACAACUCUUGGGAGGAGAGGACUCCAUUCAGCAGCUUAUUUAUGAGAAUGAGCCCACGAAGUGUCAUCCAGCUCCUCUAACAAGUAGCAGGGGAUUAAAGAUCACCGAUGCACAGCCACAGGGAGCGUCCUCAAAAAUGCUGAUGUUCGGCCCCGCUCGCAGGGAGUCUGAUUUCAUUGUCUUGGGUGGAGCACGGGUAUUUUGUAAAACCUCCCCCAGGUGAUUCUGACGCGCAUUCAAGGUUGAGUGAGCGAACCCUUGGCUUUUUAACUCGCAGGUAUAAUGCAGAGUUGUGCGCUGUGUCCUUACCGCCUUCUGCGGGAUGUAAGCGCGUUUCCCAACAGACACUCGGACAAAAUUCUAGAAAGUGUUUUCCUGAGAAGGCUCACUCACUCACUCACUUCGCAUCCCAGUCCUAAACGCAUUGCAACCAGAAAAUGUUAGAGCUAAAAGAGCACCACGUCCUCCCAGAUGACCCAAAGAGGUUAAAAAAAAAAAAAAGAGAAAAAAGAAAAACUUGCAGGCUCUCAUGGUAACAAUGAAGCGUCAGAGACUAAAACCCACAACUCCCCAAUCUGUUGAAAUGAACUAACAACGUCUCAUGCUUUACUUUAUCCUUUCUGGCCUGGGCUCAAAGUAGGUAUCAGAUAAUACAAGUUUGUAGCCGACCUUUGGAUCACUUGAAGUCAGGAGUUCAAGACCAGCCUGGCCAACAUGGUGAACCCUCAUCUCUACUGAAAAUACAAAAAGAAAAGAAAAGAAAAGCCAGGCGCCCUGGCGCAUGCCUGUAAUCCCAGCUACUUGGGAGGCUGAGGCAGGAGAAUCUCUUGAACCCGGGAGGCGGAGGUUUCAGUGAGCCAAGACUGCGCCACUGCACUCCAG
rnacentral:lncRNA from 1 species